rnacentral:tRNA from 1 species
AUUCAAAUAGCUUAAUUUAGAGCAUAACACUGAAGAUGUUGGGGUAAUUUAUUGAUUUUUGAGUA